rnacentral:rRNA from 1 species
CCCUUAGAUGGUCUGGGCGGCACGCGCGCUACAAUGAUGCAUUCAAAAAGUCUUCUGACCUUAGAAGGUUGGGUAUUCUCCAAAGUGCAUCGUGAUGGGAAUAGUUUAUUGCAAUUUUUAAUCUUGAACGAGGAAUUCCUAGUAAGUACGGGUCAUCAACUUGUGUUGAUUACGUCCCUGCCCUUUGUACACACCGCCCGUCGCUCCUACUGAUUGAGUGUCUCGGUGAAUUCUUUGAUCUUCUGUCGAUUCAGUUCACUGAUCCGACGGUGGAAAGUUGAAUGAACUUCGUCACUUAGAGGAAGGAGAAGUCGUAACA